UAAAAGGAUAAAACCAGAAAAUGCAAAAUAUAUUUUUAAAGGUUCCAAUUUUCAAUUAAAUGGGGUAAUAAGGUGGAAUUAAUUCCACAAACGGGAUAUAAUUAAAGGACAAUUUUUGGUCCAUAAUUUUAAAACCCGGAUAAAAAUCGUUACGGUGUUACAAAUAUAGGAAUAGCAAUUCUGUUUUCCGUUCUGCUGUUUUAGGGUGGUUUUUAGAAAUUCCGGACCGAAAAUGGGAUGUUGGAGAUGCAUUUUGUUUGCGAAAUUUAGGGUUUCGCAAAUCCCCAACGCAGGUAAUAAACAGGGUGCAAUAAUAAUAAUUUAUAAAGAAACCCUCGCUGCGUUAUUUGAUAUUUGUUUGCAGGUACGAUACGCCGGGUAAUUUAUUUUAUAUUAAAUCCCAUGUUUGAACAGAAAAAGCUUGCAGUUUUCGGAAAUUUACCACAAAAAAUUUUCGACAUAAUUACAAAAUAUUUACCUUUUAUAUUUCGCAUUUAUUUAAAGAAAGAAUUGGCACAGAUUGGGAUUAAUGCGAAUCUUUACCCAGAGCAAAAAAAAACAAUGCAAAUUUGGAACAAAAUUUUUAAAAACGAUAAAUAGCUUAAUACGGUAAUAAACCAAACGUAUAUAUAUGUUUCGCCACCUAUCCCGGUUUUAAUAGGUUACGACAUUUUCAAAUUUUACAAAGGCAGCGACGAGCGAAUAUAUCUUUUAUUUACCGCAAACAAUUGGGGCGGUAAUAUUUAAUAUACCCCGGAUAUUCGCCAUUCGCUUAAACCAUAUAAAUAUAACAAGGAAUCGCACGAAAUUAGCAUCGAAGGCACUAAAAUAACAAUCGUUUUGGAGCGUUAUAAUAUGGAAGAAUUGAAACUGAAAAAGCCUCAAAAGCUAUUUCAUUUAACAGGCAAAUCCAAAGAUAAACCAGAGACCGCUGUUUUGUAUUAUAAUAAAGACGUACCUGUUCGAAUCGGUAAAAAUAAGAUAAAUGGAAUUAGGGACAACGAUCGGCUGCUAGUUCAGGAUUUAUCGACGAUUAUAUCCAAAUUUAGGGAUGGUAAACCGGGUAUAAAAUAUAUAUAAAAACAUGGGGGUACGCCUCCCAGUUGUAUAAUUCCGAUACGUAAACCAAUUUUGGUAAAAAACGAAAAUACAAAGGUGGAACGUGUGUUUUGGAAUAUUAUUGCGUUAUAACAUUGCUGCUUUUUAUUAUUGGACCAUUGUUUUCCUUUUUAACCUUUAAUACCAUUUAAAUUAUAUUUUUUGGAUAGCACCGUACCUUUACGUUAUUAUUGGUAUAUUUCCUUAUUUAUAUAACAUUUCCUGAACGGUUCCAAAUUACGGAUCUGUCCCAUUUUUGUUUUUAAAUAUCGCUUCCGGCGGAGCGAAUACCUUUGCGUUUUAGGAAAAUUAGCUAUAAUAUUAGGUAAUAUUAUAAAACGUUUACAAAUAUUAUUUCGAGCCUGCCAUUUACCGAUACUCCAAAAACAUUUUAAACGAUGUUUUGUUAUUUUAAUAAAUUUUACCCCUCCCGUUAUACGUAUUAUUAAAUUUCUUUUUUAUAAUGGUAAAUAAUUUUAAAUUGGCGAUUAUGUGGUUAAAUCUAGAAUUUGGACGCAGUUUUUUUAAUUAAAUUUCACCGUUCGUUUUGUAAAACAAACAAUAGGCCCGACCGACGUUUUUAAUCGUUUUUUCGAAAGGUAAAGUGAAAAAUAAUGGUGUGGCCACGUUAUUUUUUAAUUUGUGUAUAUUUGCUACAAUUUUCGAACGAAUUGUUAGUUUAA
rnacentral:sRNA from 1 species